rnacentral:rRNA from 1 species
AUGGCGGCGCCGCCGGACAGCAAGUCUGAUAAAUCCCCAGAGGAGCUCCUGUGCGCGGCGGCGGAGGCCGGUAACGACGAUGCUAUCGCCGAGAUCAUUUCCUCUGGCGCCGACCCCACCUACUUCGACGCCUCCGGCAUGACGCCACUCAUGCGCGCGGCCUCCGGCGGCCACGCCGCUGCCGCGCGGCUCCUGCUCGAUGCCGGCGCGCCCUGGAACGCGCUCUCCCCCGAAGGUCUCUCCGCGGGUGACCUUACCUCCGACCCCGCCACAUACGACCUGCUCCUCGACCACGCCCUGCGCUCCGAGCUCAUCCUCGGCACCGUCGCCCGCCGCCAGGCGGCCUCCGCGAACUCCUCCGACGGCGUCCCCGCCGAGACCUACCUCGACUCGAGGGUUUCGUUCAGCGAGGACCGGGUGAUGGAUGCGGAGAGCAAGGCGGUGAUGAUGGAGUGGGAGCGUCCGCUGAUGGAGGCGCACGCGCGGGCGGUGUGCGCCGCCGGCGGCGGCAAGGUGCUCAACGUGGGGUUCGGGAUGGGGCUCGUGGACCAGGCGAUACAGAGGUACGAGCCCGAGGAGCACACCAUCAUCGAGGCCCACCCGGAGGUUUACGCCCGGAUGCUCAAGCUUGGGUGGGGUGAGAAGAAGAACGUCAGGAUCCUCUUCGGGCGAUGGCAGGAUGUGAUCCCGCAGCUCGGCUCGUAUGAUGGUCCAACAAGAAUCUCUCAGGAAGGUGACACGUGUCGCCUGGCGCGCCUGCCGCCACGGCCAAGGGGGUCCUUUUUGUCAAACUGUCUCAAAGGGGGUCUUUUCUGGCAAUUCGGCUGCACAGGUAUAUUCUUCGACACCUACGGGGAGUACUACGAGGACAUGAGGGAGUUCCACGAGCACCUCCCGAAGCUGCUGAAUCCGGGAGGGGUCUACUCCUACUUCAAUGGGCUGUGCGGCGACAAUGCCUUCUUCCACGUGGUGUACUGCCAGCUGGUGGCGAUGGAGCUGGCGAGCCUCGGGUACUCGACGCAGUUCGUCCCUCUCCCCGUCAGGGACUGCCUCAAGGCGGAGGUGUGGGAGGGGGUGAAGCAGAAGUACUGGCAGCUCGACACCUACCACCUCCCGGUCUGCCAGGCCGAAUCUGAAUCAGAGUAG